GUUUAGAUUUUCUUUUUUUUGCUCUUAUAAGCUACCAUAGGUUAAGUUCGGCACUGUCGCCAUGUUCUUCAGUCAACGCAGUGCACAGUCAGAAAUGUAGUCCAGUUUGACUCAUUUACCAGUUAACCCGUCAGUUGCCAUUCAAGUAUUCCCGACGAAGUUUUGUCCCGCCACAGAAAUCGAAUAAAUAAGCUUCACAGCUUAAUAUCUCCAUUUACGGCUGGACUCCCAAACUUCAUUUUUCCCUUUCCUCAACUAUU
rnacentral:lncRNA from 1 species